GACGAACGCUGGCGGCGUGCCUAAUACAUGCAAGUCGAACGCAGUGGGGACGGGUGAGUAACACGUGGGUAACCUCCCAUCAGAGGGGAUAACACUUGGAAACAGGUGCUAAACCGAUACUGAUGGAUGGACCCGGGGUGCAUUAGCUAGUUGGGGGGGUAACGGCUCACCAAGGCCACGAUGCAUAGCUGGCCUGAGAGGGUGACCGGCCACACUGGAACUGAGACACGGCCCAGACUCCUACGGGAGGCAGCAGUGGGGAAUCUUCGGCAAUGGGCGAAAGUCUGACCGAGCAAUGCCGCGUGAGUGAAGAAGGUUUUCGGAUCGUAAAACUCUUUUGGUAGGGAAGCGUUAUCUAACCAAAAAGCCCCGGCUAACUACGUGCCAGCAGCCGCGGUAAUAC
rnacentral:rRNA from 1 species